CUUGGGGCUUGUAAGCUACAUAAUGAUAUUUAAUUAGGGGAGGAGAUAGCUGCUCAAGUUUUUGAGAUUGAGCCUCACAAUGCUUGUAGUUAUGUGUUGUUGUCAGACAUCUAUGCAGCAGCAGAUCGGUGGCUGGAUGUUUCAUUUUUAAGGAACCAAAUGAUGGAAAUGGGGGUAAAAAAGAAACCUGGUUGCAGUUUGAUAUACUCGGCCAAGCCUAGUGUAUGGUAUCCUUACGAGUCUGUUCAGUGAAGACUGUGAUUGGCAUGAAGAAGACUUUGGCCUUCUAUAUUGGGAAUCCCAUUGGGCAGAGGACCAAUUGGGUAAUACACAAGUAUUGCGCAACCAAUAACGAGCUCAACAACACUAAAGUGCGGCCAGGGGUCGGUUGAGUGAGAGCAUAAGAGCAGAUUUGAUGGGAAAAUGCAUACAUGCAGUCACGAAAUGCAUACAAUAAUGCUCUGCUCGGUUGCUCAAUGAGCUGAAGGAUAAUCUUAAAGAUAUAAUGUUGCCAAAUUACAAGCGAGCAAUUAUUUUGUCUUACCAGUUGAGGGAGGAAAAAUGAGCCGAAGAAUAAGCCUCGGGCCCAGGUCAGCCAGGUUGCCAAUGCUUCCACUAGGUCUUACCAACUUGCGCCACAUGGCUGGUCAGAGGCCCCAACCUCAUAACCUAAGAAGAUAGAUCACUUGGCUCAUCUUUACAUCACAAAGAAGAACGUUAUCAACUUAGUGCGGAUCUCGUACACAAAUUGCGCUCAGUAGUCAAGUGGAAAGUGCUAAUCGCACAAAGUGGUUGUGUAAAUUAAAGAAGAGUCUAGUUUAUACAUUCUUGAGCUCAAAUUUUUAUAGUGUGGCUCAAAUUUUUUUGUAUUACAAUUUAAGCGGGUUUAGUUUCACAGUUUGGAUCUCUGCCAGGUUAUCAUGAUUUGUGCAAACUACACUACCCUUGAAUUUGCAAAAGUGAAUUGCAUGACCUCUUGAGAUUUAAGAAAAAUACAAUAAACUCCAACAUUAUAUUGGUUUUCCA